GACGAACGCUGGCGGCGUGCUUAACACAUGCAAGUCGAACGGAAAGGCCCUGCUUUUGUGGGGUGCUCGAGUGGCGAACGGGUGAGUAACACGUGAGUAACCUGCCCUUGACUUUGGGAUAACUUCAGGAAACUGGGGCUAAUACCGGAUAGGAGCUCCUGCUGCAUGGUGGGGGUUGGAAAGUUUCGGCGGGUGGGGAUGGACUCGCGGCUUAUCAGCUUGUUGGUGGGGUAGUGGCUUACCAAGGCUUUGACGGGUAGCCGGCCUGAGAGGGUGACCGGGCACAUUGGGACUGAGAUACGGCCCAGACGCCUACGGGAGGCAACAGUGGGGAAUAUUGCACAGUGGGCGGGAGCCUGAUGCAGCAACGCCGCGUGCGGGAUGACGGCCUUCGGGUUGUAAACCGCUUUCGCCUGUGACGAAGCGUGAAUGACGGUAAUGGGUAAAGAAGCACCGGCUAACUACGUG
rnacentral:rRNA from 1 species